GGCAUCGAAGCAGUCUAUGUCAUACUUCCAAGAAAAGCUUGCACUGUCAUAAACAAAGAAUGCCUGUACCAUAACCGACACAGGUGGGUAGGUAGAGUAUACUAAGGGGCGCGAGAUAACUCUCUCUAAGGAACUCGGCAAAAUGACUCCGUAACUUCGGGAGAAGGAGUGCCUUAUUUAUAAGGUUGCAAUAACAAGAUCCAAGCAACUGUUUAUCAAAAACACAGGUCUCCGCUAAGUCGUAAGACGAUGUAUGGGGGCUGACGCCUGCCCAGUGCCAGAAGGUUAAAGAAGUUGGUUAGUGUAUGCGAAGCUGAUGACUGAAGCCCUGGUGAACGGCGGCCGUAACAAUAACGGUCCUAAGGUAGCGAAAUUCCUUGUCGGGUAAGUUCCGACCCGCACGAAAGGCGUAAUGAUUUGGAUACUGUCUCGGAGAGAGGCUCGGUGAAAUAGACUUGUCUGUGAAGAUGCGGACUACCUGCACCAGGACAGAAAGACCCUAUGAAGCUUUACUGUAACUUGAAAUUGGAAUUGGACUUUGCUUGCGCAGUAUAGGUGGGAAGCGUUGAAAAUAUUCUUGCGGGAGUAUUGGAGCUAUCAGUGAGAUACCACUCUUGUAAUGUUAGAUUUCUAACUUUGAACCAUAAUCUGGUCAAAGAACAGUUUCAGGUGGGCAGUUUGACUGGGGCGGUCGCCUCCCAAAUGGUACGGAGGCGUACAAAGGUUUCCUCUGAACGGAUAGAAAUCGUAUCUAGAGUGUAAAGGCAUAAGGAAGCUUGACUGUGAGACCUACAAGUCGAGCAGGGACGAAAGUCGGUCUUAGUGAUCUGACGGUACUGAGUGGAAAGGCCGUCACUCAACGGAUAAAAGUUACUCUAGGAUAACAGGCUGAUCUCCCCCAAGAGUUCACAUCGACGGGGAGGUUUGGCACCUCGAUGUCGGCUCAUCGCAUCCUGGGGCGGUAGUACGUCCCAAGGGUUGGGCUGUUCGCCCAUGAAAGCGGUACGCGAGCUGGGUUCAGAACGUCGUGAGACAGUUCGGUCCAUAUCCGGUGUAGGCGCUAGAAUAUUGAGAGGAGCCUUCUUUAGUACGAGAGGACCGAGAAGGACACACCGCUGGUGUACCAGUUAUCGUGCCAACGGUAAACGCUGGGUAGCUAUGUGUGGAGUGGAUAACCGCUGAAAGCAUCUAAGUGGGAAGCCCACCUCGAGAU
rnacentral:rRNA from 1 species